rnacentral:ncRNA from 2 species
CUGAUACUUCGGGGCAGGGUGAAAUUCCCUACCGGCGGUGAUAAGGUCGUUUACCUUUUAGUCCGUGACCCGUGACAACAGUAGUUGAAGCGGUGGAUCUGGUGAAAUUCCAGAGCCGACAGUUAAAGUCUGGAUGGGAGAAGUGAGGA